GAACAGUCUUGUUCAAUGUAUCUUAAAGGACCUUGUGGGAUGUGUGGGAGUUAUUUUCUUGUUGCUAGGUAGAAAAUGUGAGAUGUCUUUGCUUUUCUUAUUUAUGAAGUUUUCAAAUAUUUAUGGUUGCUGACACUUCUCUGUUUUGCUAUGAAUUAUAAGAAACUCGGAUGCAAAAUAACUCAUAUACCUUUAAUUUUUAUGUGAUUCGACGAUUCAAUUACUGUAUGUUCUUGGUUUAAUAAUAACAAAUCAUAGGUUUGAUAUUGCUGAAAGUUUUGCUGAAGGAAGAUGUGUUUCAUGCUUGCAUUUGGCAGAGUCACAAAGUAUUAGAUGUCAUAUGCAGUAAAAUGUUUCACAACUAAGCAAAAAAUGUUUUGAGUGACUUAAUUCGAUUAUGAGGCUAUGAGAUUAGAAAAUUUAGGUAUAAAGUUACAUUGUUCCCGAGGUAUAUCGAGUAUUGUCCCUGCUCAUUUGGGGGAAAAUGGUGCAUAUGAGUUUCAGUUCAUCACAAACAACUAUAGAGAGAAUGGACAUGAGAGUGUAACAUCAUAAGAGACAAAGGACUUGGAACACUUUGAUUUUCUUCCUAAUAAUGCCCCGAACAACAGUGAUGUCUAGCAAUCGCUCACGCUGGUAUGUGCAAUUAGACACUCCCCCUCUUUUCUUCCAGAUCAGAAUAGUAAAGUCCACAGAUAUUUAAAUGUAGCCAGUGAGUUCUGAUCUUGAACACAGAUUUUGUGAUUGUGUGGUUGGCAUGAGAAAACAUAGGAAGUAGAAUUCCCCAAGAAUUGGAAAAUGGGUUAGUUGUUUGCUUAACAAAAAGAAGGGGAAAAUGGGGGAAGUGGAACUUUUUAGGAAUUUCUACUUCUCAUGAAAAUGAUGGAAGUUACUCACUUAGGGUCCCCUAGGCAAGUAGAAAUUCCCUUAGGAAUUCACCCCCCCCCCCCAUUGUCAACAAAAUAUUUUUAGCAAAAGGUUGUUUUCAAUGCGUUUCAACACAAUGCGUACAGCUGCAAAUAGACUUCUGUCUGAGAAUCAGAUUUCAGCUUCCAGUUCAGAUCAAAAGGAAAAUUGUGGGUGUCUUAAAGCUUUAUACUUGAAAAACUUAUCCAGGCUCGGGCUUUAAAAUGAUGCUCAUAAACGUGGUUCCCGGUUCUUGACGGGACCAUCUGGACGCUCUCGGCAUGACUCAAAUGAAGGGUAGGUUUGCAUAUAUGUAGGUUGUAGCAAAGAAUGCUGCAGGAAUCAGAUUGAUGUACCACAGCUGAAAAUGUCAGCCAAGACAAAGAUGAGAAUAGGUGGCUGGCGCGGUGGAGGGGUGGCUGAUGCGGCGGAGAUGUGGCUGAUGCACUGGUGAGGUUUCUGGUGGUGCGGUGGCUGGCCCGGUGGUGCAGUACCUCGGCAUUAGCAGUGGCUCAGACUAGUAUUAGAUUGAAGUUGUAUUAGAUUUUAGUUACAAUGUAAUUAUACUAUUAUAAUACUAAAUUUUGGUAUUAGACUGUAAUUAUAUAUUUAAUUUAAACAAAAUUCUCAUUUGUUUAAUUCUCAA